CAGAAGUGAAACGCCGUAGCGCCGAUGGUAGUGUGGGGUCUCCCCAUGCGAGAGUAGGGAACUGCCAGGCAU
rnacentral:rRNA from 1 species